UAAACCCUGCAAAAUUUUAUUAACUGAAAUAUAAGUUGUUGAAAUAAAUUGUUUUAAAAAUCUUUGAAAAUACUCUUGAGAAUAUGAAUAUCAGAAGAAAAAUCGUAAACAUGGAACUAUCCUAUCACAAAAUUUGCCUAUACAGUCAAUUGGGACUGAAAAGUCACAAAACAUUCAAGCAGUUAUGUGCAAGACAAAACCAACAUGAGAAACAUGGGAAACAAAAUCAGGUUUCUGAAGAAAGUAUUGAUCAAAUGGUCCUACUGAGAGUCUCAAUAAUGAAUAAUACUUAGAAUAAUGAAAAAGUCCAACUUAGUCGUGGAGCUUGCAUUUACACAAAUUGCAACUAUGAAAUGAAGUGUUUGGAACAUAACAAUUUCUAUUAUACUGCUUUCUCACACAUUAGCUAAUAUAAAUAACUCAACACACGCC
rnacentral:lncRNA from 1 species